AAAGCAUACAUGAUCUACUAUGUACAUAAAUAAGCAGCUACAAAAUAAAUGCAAGGAAAAUUAAUUUUUUUAAUUUUUUUGCAGGAAGGAUAUGAGCAAGCUAGGGGAAAUCUUAUAAAGUCUCCUAUCGGUGGUGGCACUUGAUAAACUGAUGCUAAGUGAAAAUAGUAGAAAGACUGCAGAGAAAUUCUCUCAGUGACUCAAGAGUCUUUUUGUACCUAUUAUUUAUCCUGGACGACAGAAACCCUAAUAAACAGAGAUCUACAAUGGAAGAGCAGUUAUAUCUGUUGAAUCGCCAUCAAUCAAUAGAAUUCAUCUCUAUUUUAAAAGUGAUUGACAGUCUCCAGAUGACAACAUCUGCAGCAGAAGUUGACUCCUUUCCAGAAGUGGAAUCUAUCUUUGUAAUUCUGCAUGCUUUCCC